GUCACAUGCACAUCAACAUCACGGAAAGAGUCUGUAAUCGAGGAUCUCCCAGAAAGGACUUCCUCCCUUCCUUUAUUUAGAAGACAUACCAUGCAUCCUAGAACAGAAACUAGUUUAUCUUCAAGUAUUUGUUUAUCAUCUGAGGGAACAUCAUAUGAGACAUUACAUUCUCCAGUCAGUGGAUUGCAUAGGGUGUCCAUUAAUGAAUUAUGAAGUUGUUCAGCAGCCCGAAAGAUUCUGCAAUAAGCCUUUUGUUUAUCGUCAGAGGGUACAUCAUACGAGACAUUACAUUCUCCGGUCAGUGGAUUGCAUAGGGUGUCCAUUAAUGAAUUAUGAAGUUGUUCAGCAGCCCGAAAGAUUCUGCAAUAAGCCUCUAUCUCUGCAAUAUCCCCAGGUAGUGGACCCAUUCGGGGCAACUGUGAACUAUCACCAGCCUGGAACAGUAAGCCUCUAUCUCUGCAAUGUCCCCAGGUAGUGGACCCAUUCGGGGUAACUGUGAAGUAUCACCAGCCUGGACAAUUUGAUGUUCAGUAAAAAAGAAUCACCCAGCAAUAUCUAGUUUUCAACAAACAAUUAUCGGAAAAGAGGGAGAGCUAGAUUACUGUCGGGGGAAAGACUGAUAAUUAGAUACUAAUGAGCUAGAAAUUAGACUAGAAACUGUUUCGAAUCAAUUAAAUGAAAAAUGACGCAAACACAAAUUUGCUCACUCGAAAAGCAUCAGCAUUAAAAAUUUAUUUUGAGGCACGUAGAUUCAGUAUAUUU
rnacentral:lncRNA from 1 species